UACAGAGGUCUCAAGCGUUGUUCGGAUUCAUUGGGCGUAAAGGGCUCGUAGGCGGUCCAUCGCGUCGGGAGUGAAAAGCUGGGGCUUAACCCCAGUCCUGCUUCCGAUACGGGUGGACUAGAGGUAGGUAGGGGAGAACGGAAUUCCUGGUGUAGCGGUGAAAUGCGCAGAUAUCAGGAGGAACACCGGUGGCGAAGGCGGGUCUCUGGGCCGAUACUGACGCUGAGGAGCGAAAGCGUGGGGAGCGAACAGG
rnacentral:rRNA from 1 species